rnacentral:rRNA from 2 species
CCUGCGGAGGGAUCAUUACCGAGUUUACAACUCCCAAACCCCUGUGAACAUACCUAUACGUUGCCUCGGCGGAUCAGCCCGCGCCCCGUAAAACGGGACGGCCCGCCCGAGGACCCCUAAACUCUGUUUUUAGUGGAACUUCUGAGUAAAACAAACAAAUAAAUCAAAACUUUCAACAACGGAUCUCUUGGUUCUGGCAUCGAUGAAGAACGCAGCAAAAUGCGAUAAGUAAUGUGAAUUGCAGAAUUCAGUGAAUCAUCGAAUCUUUGAACGCACAUUGCGCCCGCCAGUAUUCUGGCGGGCAUGCCUGUUCGAGCGUCAUUUCAACCCUCAAGCUCAGCUUGGUGUUGGGACUCGCGGUAACCCGCGUUCCCCAAAUCGAUUGGCGGUCACGUCGAGCUUCCAUAGCGUAGUAAUCAUACACCUCGUUACUGGUAAUCGUCGCGGCCACGCCGUUAAACCCCAACUUCUGAAUGUUGACCUCGGAUCAGGUAGGAAUACCCGCUGAACUUAAGCAUAU